rnacentral:rRNA from 1 species
CCUACGGGAGGCAGCAGUCGAGAAUCAUUCACAAUGGGGGAAACCCUGAUGGUGCGACGCCGCGUGGGGGAAUGAAGGUCUUCGGAUUGUAAACCCCUGUCAUGUGGGAGCAAAUUAAAAAGAUAGUACCACAAGAGGAAGAGACGGCUAACUCUGUGCCAGCAGCCGCGGUAAUACAGAGGUCUCAAGCGUUGUUCGGAAUCACUGGGCGUAAAGCGUGCGUAGGCGGUUUCGUAAGUCGUGUGUGAAAGGCGCGGGCUCAGCCCGCAGACGGCACAUGAUACUGCGAGACUAGAGUAAGGGAGGGGGAACCGGAAUUCUCGGUGUAGCAGUGAAAUGCGUAGAUAUCGAGAGGAACACUCGUGGCGAAGGCGGGUUCCUGGACAUUAACUGACGCUGAGGCACGAAGGCCAGGGGAGCGAAAGGGAUUAGAUACCCCGGUAGUC